AUGGAGGCGGCUAUUCCGAGGCAUAUUGUAUAUAUAUCUGGUGUCACCGUUUGCAUCGUAUCAAAAAUAGCCAUUCCUGAGAUUAGCCACCCGCCUGGGGAGUUUAUAAACAAAAAAAUAUCACUAAUUCCAUCUUCUACUAGUGUUUAUUAG
rnacentral:rRNA from 1 species